rnacentral:lncRNA from 1 species
UCGUGUUUCAGGGAAAGACUCUUCAUGUUCUGCAUCGGGUAUGUCAAUGGUUGAGGGAUCUGUUGCUACAAUGUCUGCCCCAGAAUCAGUUGAAAGCCACGCCCUUCAGCUUCAUCCAUCUCCUCCGAGUCCGCUUCUUUCGCCAUCUCCAAUCACUUCAUCUCAUGAAACUUCUGAUACUGAGGUAGCAGGAACUAAUUCACCAUCAGCGACUUCAGCUUUGUCUUCACAGGGGAGCAAUAUUACGACAUUUUCUUUGACUCAGACGAACCCUUAUUCUUCACCUGCUCUGGCCGCACCUUCCCAGCCACCUUUGUGCAGGCCAUCCCUGUCACUUUCAAGUAACAUCCGGUCAUUUUCACCUCCUCCACCUCCCCCACCCCCUCCGCCUCCACCAUUAACUAGCUCGAGGAUGACUUCACUGGGUGCCUUUUCUCCUCCCCCACCACCACCACCUCCACCUCUGCCCUCAUCAUCCAGUGUAAUAAAUGUUGGUAGGGUCCCUCCACCACCCCUUUGGAUGGGGUAUGGGACUACCUCAGAAGUAGUAUCUAGUUCAUCACCACCUCCACCUCCACCUCCACCUCCUCCACCACCUCCUCCUCCUACACCUCCUACUCUUUCCCCACGAAUCCUACAUACCUCGCAAGUUGCUCCACCUCCACCGCCCCCACCACCACCACCUCCUUCAACCUACGUUCCCCCUCCUUUAUACAACACUCAAUCUGCACCAUCUCCACCACCUCCCCCUCCUUUUUCUAGAGCGCCAACUCCACCACCUCCCCCUCCCCCUCCUUUUUCUAGAGCGCCAACUCCGCCACCUCCCCCUCCCCCUCCUUUUUCUAGAGCGCCAACUCCGCCACCUCCCCCUCCCCCUCCUUUUUCUAGAGCGCCAACUCCGCCACCUCCCCCUCCCCCUCCUUUUUCUAGAGCGCCAACUCCACCACCACCACCUCCAUUGCCUGGAGCUCCACCUCCUCCUAUGCGGGGGCCUCCAC